GGACCUAUCCCUCCUGGAUAUCUGUCCUGUUGGAAUAACAUCUCUCUUCGCUUCUUUCUCUCUGAAUGUUUCGGAGACCACCAUCCCCUUAGACUACUCCGAUUUGCUGAACAAACUGUGCAUUGUUCUACCUCUUGCAAACGCACUUGCUAGAUUGUGACUCUACGUCAAUACAGCCCCUGCUGCACCACUCAAGGCCUAGCAACAUGCUGAACUCGCUACACACUUCAACCUCCUACAUACGUAUCCUUUUCAUGCCGAAGAGAGAGCUCCAAUGCUCUAUAAUGCUGAGUUUCGGUCGCCUUGGGAUGGCUGCGAACAUUUCAUCAUCCGCAUACAAGCCCAUGCAUGAGUACCGAAUUCUUCGAGUUCGUAAUUCCCCUUACCUUUGUGAGCUUUGCACAACUCUUUUGGUCGCUAAGCUACUCGUUCCACCUUGCAUGGUCUCAUCCUUUACCAAGCGCCUCGCUUGCCUUGAGUACCAUUAAGUAUAUUUGUCAACGUCGAGCCAUAGCUCGAACUCAACCAUCCCAACCUUUGUGCGCUACGCAUUCUUCCAAGCUUGCUUGUUCUCGUAGUGUCUCUUGCGCAAAGGGUUGGUCAUUCCUCUGAAUGUCAAUCUCAGAUGCCCGCUCCUCCGGGCGACUCAUUUUACCUAUAUCUCUAUGUAUGUUUUCCUCUAAAUGGUCGCGCGUGUGCUGAUUGCCCUCAACACAGCUCUGCUAGGUCCCCCACAUUUGCAUGCCAAGUGUUUCUAUGAGCGCUUGUCCCACUCUGAUACCAUAUGUCAUGGACUUAACUAGUUUUGCCCAAGUCGUGUGGCACCUUUGCGUAUUCGUCCACAAAGGUCAGCCUCCCCGAAACCUCCCAUGGUCCCUUAAGACCUACAAAAGAGAAAAUGGGUUAGAGAAAGCAUCUCACUUGGGAUCCAUAAGCAAACCUUUUAGGAAACACUUCAUAGAUAAUGCAAAUUACAAACAGGCUUUAUAAGCUUUGAACGGUUACAUAAUAAAGGGUCAAAAUGGUCCACUACAAAUCGAAUAUCUCUCACAAGUGUCCACAUAACAUAACCUUUAUUUACAAGGCUAAGAAGGCCACCAAACCCAACUAAAAUGAGGUUGUUAAGCCUUCAACCGUUCCUCUACAUGCUGUGCAAAGCAUGAACAAACAGAAAGAUAUGGAUAUACAUAAGUAUUAUAUUAAACAUCUUGUUUAGAACUUUGUCCGUGAUAGAACAUCCGGACUUUCGACGAACUCUCGAACUCCCAAUGAAGUCUCAUUCUUGACUCCGGGACAUCAUUUUGCUUUAUGCCUUAAUCACUAUUAUAGUUAAUCCUACACACUUAAAACCUAGUUCGAUCUAGACAAUUAUUACAAAGCUUGAAUCAAAUAUUAUCCGGCAUAUCAUUGGUUCAUCGACGCUUCGUUCGAUUCUUCGGUGCAUCGUCCUCUCUUGUAGCCUAUUGCCCAAUCGGCAAGUUGACCUCCAUAACUCCAAUUUCCUUAGCGUAAUUUUCGCUCUUCUUAGCCCGAUACUCGAACCCAUGGCCUGAAGCCUUUUGCUGAUACGUCGACCGAUCCUCCGGCUCGACGUCUAAUCUUCUAACAUGUUCCACUCUGGCCCAACAUGAUUCUUCCCGCUUUAAUUGUCUCUCCAUGAUCGAAGCUUCCUACGUCAUUUAAAAUGUAGAUCAACUUAUAAACACUAUCAAUUGGUUUCAUCAUCAAAAUAUGAGAUUAAACAAGUAAAUGACAAUAAUAGAAAUGCAAAUCGAGUUUAUAGUGGUCCGAUAGUUGUGACCUACAUCCACUCCCGAUUCCUCUUCCGUCGAGGCUACUGAUAUCCACUAAUGAUCUUCCUUCAAUGGGCGAAGACCAACUACCCUUACAACUCUAUUCUCCUUUUGAUAGGCUCAGAAGAGAACCUUUAUACCCUCACUCACUCUUCUCUAAACAGAAAUCACACUUAGACUAGAGAAGGAGAAUUCUCAUAAUAUUACAAUAGAAUUUUCACUUGUUUUUGUUCUCGGUUCUUAUGUAAUCUGAGCAAGGAUGAGAGGGGUAUUUAAAGGACCCAAUUGGAUUCAAACUUGGAGCCUAAAAGUGUCUCAUCCCCGAUUUUCGGGGUACUGGCGGUACCAUCGCCCAAUCUGACAGUACCACCACCUGACAUAAUAUGGGUGACUGUGUCUAGGUGGUACCACCGCCCAGACUGGUGGUACCACUGCCUGACACUGGGAGGUACUACCGUUUGACACUGGGCGAUACUACUGCCUAACAUAGUCUUAGAGGCUGUCUCGGAGGCUAAGCAACUAGCAGUGCCACCACUUGGAUCGGUGAUGCCACCGCCUGACCCAACUUUUAGGUCACUGAAUGGCCUUUCUCUUGGUCCAAAAUAGCCCCAAUUCGAGCCCAAUUAGCUUCUAAUUGAGUUGGCCUAAUUAUAUUCUAAACCAACCUAAUUAUAACUAAAAACUACUUUGAUCUAGACAAAUUAUUACAAGUAAAAAUACUAAGUUGUACAGCAUGUCAUUGGUUCAUCCAUCGCUUCGUUCGACCUUUCGAUGCAUCGUCCUCUCCUUAGGUGUAUUGCCCAAUCGGUAUGUUGCCUUCUUGCAACAUCUGAUCUCCUUGGCGUAAUGUCCAAUCUUCUUGGCUCGAUGCCCGAACUCAUGGCACAAAGCCUUCUACCGAGACAUUGGCCAUUCCUCUGGUCUAACAUCCAAUCUUCUAAUGUGUUCAAUUCUCGCCCAACUUCUUAUUCUUUCUGCUUUAAUCAAUUUGUCUCUCUUGAUCGAAGCUAGUCCUACAUCACUCAAAACGUAGAUUAGAUUAUAACAUUAUCAAUUAGUUUUAUCAUCAAAAUCUGAGAUUCAACAGGUACCACCACCUAGCCUAGGUGGUACCAUCACCUGCCAAACUGACACUAGGCAGUACCAACGCCUAGUUUGAGCAAUACAACUACUCGGGUUUUUUGGAGAUGUACAUUGUCUCACAAGUGGUUCCACCACCUGACCUGGCAGUACCACCGCUUGGGCCAACUUCAGAAUAUUGAAUUAGACUUUCAAUAGGCUCAAUUCAACCUUGAUUUAGGCUCAAUUAGUCCCUAAUUAAGUUGGCAUGGUUACACUAAAAACCAACUCAAUUACAACCUAACCUACUUCGAUCAAGACAUGACCGAUUACAAACACGAAUCCUAUGUUGUCUGACAUGUCAUUGGUUCAUCCGACGCUUUGUUCGAUCUUUCGGUACAUCGUCCUCUCCUUCGACGUAUUACCCAAUCGACAUGUUGACCUUCCGCAACAUCCGAUCUCCUUAGUGUAAUGUCCAAUCCUUUAGCCUGAUGCUCAAACUCAGGCACAAAGUCCAUCGGGCACGUCGACCAGUUCUUAAGUCCGACGUCCAAUCUUUUGACAUGAUCCACUCCGGCCCAAUGUCUGAUUCUUCCUGCUUCAAUCGAUUUGUCUUUCCAUGAUCGAAGUUAGUCCUGUGUCACUCAAACGCUUAUUAGAUCAUAACUUCAUCAAUUGAUUUUAUUAUCAAAAUCUGAGAUUCAAUAGUAGGUGCACAAGGGAGCGAUUGACGCUACUUGCCACUUCGUGUACAUAAGCACAAGCAACCAAGGAAGGAGAGGGGCAACUGAUGAGGGUCGCAUGAUCGACCACAGUGGGUGAGCAACGAUUGGUGAGCGGGAUUGCUAAGUGCCGGAUGGCCAAGCCCAAGACGAAGGGGAGUGGUCGAUAAGGCAGAGGUAUGGCCAAGCGCGGAUAAAGGAACAAUCAAGUAUGGGUGUAUGCACAAUGAAAGGCAAUGAUCGUUAUGGAUAAAAUAAUUAUUUCUAAAAAAAUAAUACUCUAUAAGAAUUUUUAAAAUUUAGGGUACUCAAUAGGAAAAACAUAAAAUUACGAGUUUUUUCAUAAAUUUAUCGAAAAAACUAUGUUUAUAUUUUUUUAUAUUAUUUAAAUUAUUUUUUUAUAAUUAUAAGAAAGUUAUUAGUUAAAAAUAUAUUAUAAUUUUUUUAAUAUUAUUAAAAGUACUAUAAUAUAAUAUAAAAAUAUUAUAACUAGACCAAUUCAUCAUAUGGAUAAGUCUAUUAGGAUAAGGAAGAAAAGAAGGGCAGAUGGCUGAGGGUGUUCUAGUUAUAUAAAAAGAAAAAAAAUAGUGUUACAGAAUUUUGAGAAUAGGAGACACUUCCCCCAAAAAAAACCCUUAAACGAGAUAUUUUUAUUUUUUAAAUUAAGAUUCUGACCUCCAGGCGUCAGUUGAACGACGCCUAACCCGUUUAAUGAUUCGAAGAAUAAUAUGGGACCGGAAGGGCCCCACCGCUGGUAAAGUAAAUGAGAUAUUACCGCGUAAGUUUAGGAUUCCCGUUCAUAGAUGAUUGUAAUUAUUGGUUUCCCUUGAUUAAAUUGGGAUUAAAGGAUAAAGUGGAAUCUUUUGGGUGUUAAUAGUUUCACUUAGACCAAAAGUGCAGGACACUGUGGGGUAAGGUCUCACCUCCUGUUAUGUGAGGUAAGGUCUUUCAACCCUCUGAUACUGUCAGCCCCAAACCUUCCUUCACAUUGAGUUAUGGUAGGCCAACCUCCUCUCCUGCAUCAACCACCACUUGUUCCUUCCUCUCCCUUUUGCCUCUUCCUGCAUGAAGUUCUUCAUGUUUGCUUUUGGUUCCAAAUCUAGUUUACAGUUUCGAUGUUUUCAGAUUUAUUUUUGUUAAUCUCAUCAGCAUCAGUUUCAUCGAAAAGGUAAUCGAUACUUGUGUUUGCCAACAAUCGAAUAUUGCCAGAUCAAUUCAAUGGCUGUGUUUUGUGGCGGAAGAUUCAAGUCUGUUCCAUUGUCAUGUUCCACGAGAAGGCCUUUGUUUCAAGAUGUGUUGUCGCUUCAAAAGCAGGAGGUAAUGUAUUGGACCACCACCGGCCAACUUUCCCUGUAGCUUUGCUUCGUUCGAUUCCCCACCGAGCGCCAUGGUCGGUCGUACGUGUCAAUGGUGGAUUGGUCAGUUUCUCUUUCUCUCUCUUCUCUCUUGAUUCAUGUGGCUUACUUGGGCCUUGGCUCUAUAAGAACCCGUCCUCUUCUCCUCUCCUCCAUUGUAGAACGAUCUGGAAUAGAAGAUAACGAGGAAGUAAUAGCAUUUUGUAGAGGAGAAGAGAGAGAGAGAGAGAGAGAGAGAGAGAAAGAGAGAGAGUAUGGCUAAUGGUUACUACUAUCAGAAUAGUCCUUACUACUACAACUCCUCUCACUCCCAGUCUCCUCCCUUGCCGCUCCACCUGUGCCUCUUCCUCCUUACGCUCUUCAUGUUCAUAGGCCUCUCGUGGUACAUGGCCUACGAGUCGGUGUUCGAGAGCUUGUUCGACCAGCUCAAGUUCCUGCUCAUGAUGUCGCCGCUGGUGCUGCUGCUGGUCGUCCACUGGCUGUCGAGCGAUGAGCGGCUAAGGGUGCCCUUCUUUAUUCCCUUGCCGGAGAGGGACUCCUUCCACCGGGCCGGCGGUUCCCCUUGGGGCGUCGCGCUUGUCUUGGUGCUCCUCAUGUUCAUGAUCUCCUACCAGUCCUACUUCCACGACUGCUGGUUCCCGCUACUAAGCCGUUGACGCUGAUGAACCAGGAUGCAUGUAUCCCAGAUUCCGUAGCUGGAAGAAGAAGAAGAUGAUGAAGAAGUAUUAGCUAUCCAUGUAGUUAAUCGAUAAGACGAACUUGCGAAGCGUCUGUUGUCAAUAACAUUUUGCUCUUGGUUUUGUAUCUUAGUUCUGGAUCACUGAUCAUUGCCUUCUAACUUGAGCAUGAAAACAAAGGUUAAGAUAGCAGAGUUUGAUCUCAAUCUCUCUGUGAAGCUACAGUUUCUGGCCAAGAGAAGAUUACUUGUCAUCGAUAGUGGAGACAAAAGAAUCAACGCACACUGGGAGCCUGAAGGAUCUGAUCAAAUUGAUUCAUUACCAGGCAGAUAGAUCAUGAAGAGAGCAGAGGAUGACUUAUGAUUUAAACGCCUUGCACCCUUGAGUGUAACUUUUUCCUGAGCCAAAAAGGUGUACAAGGCUUACGCAAUAUGGCCUUCUUUACUUGGGUUGAGAAAUGCUUCUCUUUUCCUUUCAAGUGGCCUUCUACACAUGUCAAUGAUUGCACCCAAAAGAAAGCAGAGAAAAGUUGUCAACCGAUACAAUCUUUACUUUUCUCUCUCUCUCUCUCUCUCUCUCUCUCUCUCUCUCUCUCUCUCUCUAUUAUACGUUGAUGUAGGUUGGAUUGUGUAAACUAUGAAAAGAAGGGAAUGGCAUCUGCUUCUCUUUUCCUUUCGGCUUGGAUAGUGAUCAAAGCAGCAGAACUUGUGCAUGCCUACCUGCCUCCUCGGCAUUAGCUAUUGAAAAGUGGACUCGGUUCAUGGCCGAGGUGGUGAAGCUCACAGAUAAUUCACAUUUGUUACAAGUUGUGACACCUCGUACAUGAUUCUGCGAAAAGAUAACCCCAUAAAAAUGUUGAAUCCUUCGUUGACUAAUAAGAAUAGCUCGUCGCUAGGAAAUCACAAAAAUUAUUUUAUUAUCGAUGACCUUCUUAUGUUCUUCAAGUGUCAAAAAAGUCAUAUAUAGCAGCCUGUUUUGUUACGAUUCUUUAACAGAUUUAGAUAAAUUAUUCAUUUAUUUACUUGAGAAGUUCAGAUCUAAAUUGGCAAUAAUAGUAAUAGUAAUAGUAAUAAUAAUAAUAAUAAUAAUAAUAAACAGACCUCCUGGCUAGCCUUUUGCAUGAACAACAUUUGAAUAGAACCAUAAGCAAAGUGAAAGACAACACCGGCAAUUGCAAUUAUUAAACAAAAAUAAUAAGGUAACAUACUCAAAAUGAUAUCUGGUUCAGAAUUAUUGACCUUCCUUCGAGUACAGAAUCAAAAUAAAAUCAAGCAAAGCAAGUCAUAAUAUCCAUCCAAGGAGAGAGGAGAGAGAGACCGACAAAUAUUUGGUUGAGGAAGAACAGCAUCCAGGUAAAAUUCCAAACUGAACUACUCUCUCAUGUCAGUUGUGUUGUUUCAUCAUCUUAUUGUUCUGCUACUCCCCAUGUAGAAGAAGAUUUAGAAGCAUUUCCUGUGCACAAUGGAAGGGCCAGACUCAUCAUACUCUGCCUUUGCAAUCCACAUCUGCAACGGACAGUAGCUUGUCAUCAAGAGUGAUUCCAAGAAUGCAAGAUUUUGUCAAGAUAACCAGAUAUGAGCAUCUAUUAUGUGGUUUCAAGUAGUAGGGUAUACACCUGUUGGAAUGUGCUAAGAGAAGCCAAAAUGGAUCCUCCAAUCCAAACACUGUACUUCCUUUCCGGGGGAGCAACCACCUUAAUCUUCAUGCUGCUUGGAGCCAGUGCAGUGAUCUCCUUGCUCAUCCUAUCAGCAAUGCCUGGGAACAUGGUGGAUCCUCCACUCAGCACAAUGUUUCCAUACAAAUCCUUUCUGAUGUCCACAUCACACUUCAUGAUGGAGUUGUAUGUGGUCUCAUGUAUGCCUGCAGCUUCCAUCCCAAUCAUGGAUGGCUGGAAGAGCACUUCAGGGCAGCGGAACCGCUCGGCACCGAUGGUGAUGACCUGCCCGUCAGGCAACUCAUAGUUCUUCUCCACAGAUGAGCUGGUCUUUGCCAUCUCCAGCUCUUGUUCAUAGUCAAGAGCAAUGUAUGCCAGCUUUUCCUUGAUGUCACGAACGAUUUCACGCUCUGCCGUGGUGGUGAAGGAGUAGCCACGCUCUGUCAAGAUCUUCAUGAGAGCGUCAGUCAGGUCACGGCCUGCCAGGUCGAGGCGAAGGAUGGCAUGUGGAAGUGCAUAGCCUUCAUAUAUUGGAACUGUAUGGCUGACACCAUCACCAGAGUCGAGCACAAUACCUGUGCAUAUCAGUGAUCAGUCAAGUUUAAUUUUCCUUCUUCAUUAGUGAUUCAAUAAUGCAAAAGAAAAAAAAAAUUCCUUCCAUAUAUAUAUGCUGCAGAAAUCAUGUAAUCCUAAAUUAAUAUUCAGGCAUCACAAAGAUCAUCCAGCUUGUAGACAUAUACAUGAAUAACUGAAUAUAAGUAGCAAAUCUAAGCACUUACUGAAAAGAGAUGCUAUUUCAACUAAAAAAAGUUCACCAAGUUAACAGGGUUCAUGGUUUACGAACAUGCACAGGUAUUCCAAUUCCCUCAAAAAAAAAGACAUGUUUACAUGUCUACUAGAGAUGGUCAAGAGAGUGAUUCAUCAAGGUGAAUGACUGGAUUACCUGUUGUUCGACCACUAGCGUAAAGAGACAGAACAGCUUGGAUUGCAACAUACAUAGCUGGAGCAUUGAAGGUCUCAAACAUGAUUUGAGUCAUCUUCUCACGAUUGGCCUUGGGGUUAAGAGGUGCUUCAGUAAGAAGAAUAGGAUGUUCUUCUGGUGCCACACGAAGCUCAUUGUAGAAAGUAUGGUGCCAAAUUUUCUCCAUGUCAUCCCAAUUGCUCACAAUGCCAUGCUCAAUCGGAUAUUUCAGUGUCAGAAUGCCUCGUUUAGAUUGAGCCUCAUCUCCUACAUAUGCAUCCUUCUGGCCCAUGCCUACCAUCACUCCAGUAUGACGUGGUCGUCCCACAAUGCUUGGGAAAACAGCCCUUGGGGCAUCAUCUCCAGCAAAACCAGCCUAAAGAAUGACAGCACACAAUGUUUAAAGGCUAAGUCAACAGUGAACUAUGAGGAGAAGCUCUCUGAGAAAUUCAAAAUUGGCUAAUGGUUAGAUGACAAAAGAUGAAGUUAAUAGCAUUAGGUUUAAGCAUUUUAGAGCUUCAGAACCGAACUAUAUCAUUAUCAUCUUCGUGAACAAUGUAUGAACAGUAAACAGCCUGAGAUUUAUGGAAACAUGUCAUAAAAAGCAAUCUUCAGGUUGUACCUUAACCAUUCCAGUUCCAUUGUCACAUACGAGAGGCUGAAUAUCUUCACCAUCUGCCAUCUUCUAUCUCUGACAGGAAAGAUGAAUACCAGCUUGAGAUGAAGAACUAUCCAUCAGACAAAAAGGAACAAACAGAAGAGAAUUACAUGUGAAUGUAUAUAACUAGUAAUGGAUAUAAGUUCAAAGAAUUGUUAUAUUAAUUAGUCAUUGACUCAUUUCCUAUUGACUGACACUUUGUAUUUCCUGGUAUAACUUUGAAAGCAAUCAAGACUGGUACAGUGGUAGUAACAAUUCUACUGCUCAAUACUAAUUACUUUGAGAACAACUUAAUAAACUCCUUACUCACUGAAAGGUCAGAACGAGUAAAUAAACUGAUCAAAAUUCAUCUCCGCGGUUACUCAAUAUACAAGAAUUUCCAUUUUUUAAUCGAGGGUUUAUAAUUCUAAUGUAAGACUUAGCCGAUCUUAUCCAUUUUUAUAAUUUUUUUUGUCGAAUAAAUCAUGAAUGGAUUUGGCAAAGUAUUAAGGAUUUUAUCGAAAACUUACAGCAGCGCCACAGCACAGGUACAAAAGACAAUUUAUUUAAAAUACAUUUCAAGGUUAAAAAACAAAGCAUAAGAACAUUUUAAGCAAUAAACUUAACAUGACUUGGCAAAUAACCUUGAUUUCCAAUCCGAUUGUAAGUAGAAUGCAAUGAAUUAUAUGGAGACAAAAGUCUCUUCAGGACAGAUUACCCCAGCAUAUAAGGUCAAACAUCCUCAUGAUUUGGCAAAUGAGGGAAUUGAUUCUUUAAGCUGGCAUGUAAAUACAUGAUUUGAGGCAAACCAAGUAUUGAUAUCACAAUAGACAAAACUCUGUGGCAAUCACCAAUAUUUGCAUCUUUAUUUUAGGGUAAAUUUCUAUCUACAACUUAGAUCCAGAAAUUACAGAACACAGCAAAUGUACAAUCACCAAUGCAGUCAACUCCAUCAUUUCCUUUAUGAAGGACAACCUAAAGUAGACAAUCAAGCAUCUGCCAUCUUUAUAUCUGACAGGCACCAAAUGAAAAAGAACAGAAUUACAUUUGCAAUAUAUAUGGUCAAUAAUGGAGACAAGAUUAGAGUUUGUUAGAUUAACAAGUCAUUGAUUUAUUUCCUAUGUGCUGAUGCUUCCUAUGUC
rnacentral:lncRNA from 1 species